rnacentral:lncRNA from 1 species
GCCCACCUUUAAGCAGCUCUAUGGUACGCAGCUGGAAGGGGAUGCCGUUCUUCUUGGCGAAGAUGUAGACAGCACGGCAGGGUUGGGACAUCAGGUCCAGGUAGAGCUCCAGACCCAUGGCGGAGGCUGUGGGAGUAGCCGCUGGCAGACCUCGGGAACUAGCCUCGGGUGAACUGCCUCUGGGGACAGAAGCCGGAGCAGCCGCAACGGCGAGCAGGAACGGCUGGGUCCCAGCUCCUCAAGUGCCUCUUAGCCUCGAUCGGAGCUCGAUCCCAAUCUUCCUUCCCAUUGGAUGACCACAAGAACUUUGGGCCAAUCAGUGCCGGACUGCAAGUUAACCCCCGAAACAGAUGAACCUGAACUAUGAGCCCGAGUCUUGGUUUGGAGCCAAACUGGCCCCUGUACCUCCGUGCUUCAGCCAAAUGAGGAACGGAACCCAGUAAAGGAAAAACUGACACAACCGGCGUCUCUAUUGGUGAAUUUAGGGGCAGAUUAGCCGUGCUAACUGCCCUCAAAUUCACUUUCUUUCCCUCCACUCACAAAAAAGGUUGAGGGAGGAGUGGCUUCGGAGAUCCUUGACACAGAAAGGAAGAAGGAAGUGAGACUACCAAUCCCAUCCAGUUCCUUGGGCCCAGGACUCAGGUUGGUUGUAAUGAGUGGCCAAGUAUGUAAAUGCUAGGUCCACACCCCGUGAGGGAAAUGAUCAGGCCUCCUUAUUCUUAUUUAUUUCACCCCAGCUAAUCCCUCUAGCAGGAGGGAGGAUUGAAGACAUGCCUAGGAUUGGAUAAAACUUCUCCGCCUAAUGCAAAAAAAAAAAAAAAAAAAGAAAAAGAAAAAGAAAAAAAAGAAAAGGAAUCUUCAGUGGCAGCCAGGGGCACCUAAGUCCUAUAUGACAUCAUCAUUUCCCCAAAUCUCCAAAUGAUGGGGGAAAACCAACUAACCACCACCACCACCAACAACAACAACAACUACAACAACAACAACUACUACUACUACAAGGGCUGGAGAGAUGGCUCAGCAGUUAAGAGCAUUGACUGCUCCUCCAGAGGUCCUGAACCAUCUGUAAUGGGAUCUGACAUCCUCUGCCAGUGUGUCUGAAGAGAGUGACAAUGUAUUCAUAGACAUAAACAAAUAAUUCUUU